GAACUCUAUGGACUAGAGAUAUUUCUCAUGAUUUUUCAAUGAGUUCUUAAGUAUCUCCUCUAAGGCAGGUUAUCAUGACUAUCCCUCUGAGUUGAUGAGAUCGGGCAUC
rnacentral:lncRNA from 1 species